rnacentral:rRNA from 1 species
UACAGAGGGUGCGAGCGUUAAUCGGAAUUACUGGGCGUAAAGCGCGCGUAGGCGGUUCUGCAAGUCGGGUGUGAAAUCCCCAGGCUUAACCUGGGAACUGCAUUCGAGACUGCAUUACUAGAGUAUGGGAGAGGGAAGUGGAAUUUCCGGUGUAGCGGUGAAAUGCGUAGAUAUCGGAAGGAACAUCAGUGGCGAAAAGCGACUUCCUGGGACCAAUACUGACGCUCAUGUGCGAAAGCGUGGGGAGCAAACAGG